AGAAAAUCAUUUAUUUUCUUUGAUGCUUUAAAAUUGUGACAUAAAUAUUUCUUGUGUUUACCGUUGGAAAUUUUUUCUUCUACCGGCCUGUUUCAACCUGCCGGUUGUGCGAAAACAAGAUGAGCAGCAUCUUCCGGCCAGGAUAUUUUGCGGGAAAGUACAAAAUCCUCCAGUAAACCAAGGGAAUCCUACGGCUGGUGGCUUUAUCCUGGAACGGUCCCGCGCUAAUGCAGCAAUAAACAUGCAUCUAUCUGAAGCAGAAUCGAGUCGCGGCUUCGCCAGACGAGAACAAGGAGGCGGAGAAUAAUAUGCAUCAACGUAAAAGAAGAAGCGCAACCAUGAAACUUUUUAAGUUGAAAUAUUAUACACCACUAUGUUAAUCUAUUUUUAAGACGGUGAAAUAAUAAAAAGAAAAGGAAAAAAGGAAAAGAGUAGUGAGUUUUGCGAAAGUUGGAAAUAUAUAAAUUGAUAUAGUUGGAACUUUGAUAAUUUCAAUUGAUAAAUUGUCUCAUAAAAGUUCAAAACUUUUCUUCCAGAAUGUUUUAUAAGUAAUAUUCACAUAUAAAUAUUGCAUUUGCUUAAAAUUUUCUUUGAAAACAACGAUAAUAUGUUGUGAAUAAC